CUUGCAUCAACACGUGCAGCACCAAUUGUAGUGGAUCUUCCUGUGACAAACAGACAGGAGAAUGUCAGUCCUGUGUUGACAGACAUUGGGGUCCAUAUUGUACUAAGCUGUGUAGCUCAACAUGUAAAGAGGCCUCGUGUGACAAAGUGGACGGAAAUUGUCAGUCCUGUGUUGACAGAUAUUGGGGUCCAUCUUGCACCGAUCAGUGUAGCACUACCUGUAAAGAUCCCUCGUGUGAUAAAGUGAAC